CCUACGGGAGGCAGCAGUGGGGAAUAUUGGGCAAUGGGCGCAAGCCUGACCCAGCAACGCCGCGUGAAGGAAGAAGGCUUUCGGGUUGUAAACUUCUUUUGUCAGGGACGUAGCAAGUGACGGUACCUGACGAAUAAGCCACGGCUAACUACGUGCCAGCAGCCGCGGUAAUCCGGAGGUGGCAAGCGUUAUGCGGAUUUACUGGGUGUAAGGGGCGUGUAGGCGGGGAAGCAAGUCAGAUGUGAAAACCACGGGCUCAACCUGUGGCCUGCAUCUGAAACUGUUUUUCUUGAGUGCUGGAGAGGCAAUCGGAAUGCCGGGUGUAGCGGUGAAAUGCGUAGAGAUACGGAGGAACACCAGUGGCGAAGGCGGAUUGCUGGACAGUAACUGACGCUGAGGCGCGAAAGCGUGGGGAGCAAACAGGAUUAGAUACCCGUGUAGUC
rnacentral:rRNA from 1 species